rnacentral:rRNA from 1 species
GAUGAACGCUGGCGGCGUGCUUAACACAUGCAAGUCGAACGGAAAGGCUCCUGCUUGCAGGGGUACUCGAGUGGCGAACGGGUGAGUAACACGUGGGUGAUCUGCCCUGCACUUCGGGAUAAGCCUGGGAAACUGGGUCUAAUACCGGAUAGGACGAUGGUUUGGAUGCCAUUGUGGAAAGUUUUUCGGUGUGGGAUGAGCUCGCGGCCUAUCAGCUUGUUGGUGGGGUAAUGGCCUACCAAGGCGUCGACGGGUAGCCGGCCUGAGAGGGUGUUCGGCCACAUUGGGACUGAGAUACGGCCCAGACUCCUACGGGAGGCAGCAGUGGGGAAUAUUGCACAAUGGGCGCAAGCCUGAUGCAGCGACGCCGCGUGGGGGAUGACGGCCUUCGGGUUGUAAACUCCUUUCGCUAGGGACGAAGCGCAAGUGACGGUACCUGGAGAAGAAGCACCGGCUAACUACGUG